UUCUGUUCCUCUCGGUGCAAACGUUUCUCUCUCUCACUGGGUCACUGUUUGUCAAUGGGUAUGAGGUGUAAAUUCCAUCUUUUUUUUCUCUCUCCCCUCUUCCCUUUAUAAAUAGGCCUUUGCUCCUCUCCAUUUUUCUCCUCUUUCCGGUCUGUUUUGGUGUGAGUGGAGAGAGAGAGAGGCCCUCUCUCGACAAAACCCACAUGCUAAGGAUUGAAAUUGAAGGAAGAUCUGAAAAACGCCCACAUAAAAUUCAAAACAUAUCCACACAGUUAUACGUAGAGGGAGAGAUAUACACCUAGAGAAAGAGAGGCACUUCGAUUAAUCUGUUUUCCUUAAAUUCUUUCUCUGCCUCUUCCUCCUCCUCAACGAUGACUCUUUUGUGCCCAACGAAGCUGUAAAAUUUGAUGAACCUUUUUUUUUUCUUUACAAACUUCCCUUCUUCUAAUAUAUUAUUUUCUAUCAUUAAAGCUCUUUAAUUUUAAUUGCGCAGCGGUUUUUUUUUCUGGGUUUUGUUUGAACAGAAUUCUGCUUUGCAAAUUUUUCCCUACCUUGAUAUUUCUUUAUUUCUCUCCCAUAAAUUCUGGGUUUCAACAAUUUGAAUCAGGGUUUUAUUUUUUUAUUAUUGUGUCUUGUGGUUGGUUCGUCUUCUAAGGUCUGAUCGAUCGCCACUGGUAUCAACCCUAAUUGUGGUUUUUGUACUAUUAGGGUUCUGGUCAGGAGGGUGCAGAUUGUAGAUAGAAACUAAGCAUUGUUGGAUUGUUCGGCCGUGUUUUUUUGUUAGCGUAGCAAAUCUUCAGUCGAAUUUUUAUUUAGCUAGCUUUCCAAUUUUUUUUUUUUUGUUUUUUCUGUCAAGUGGAGAUUGUGGGUUCACUAGGUUCGGUUUCAACUCACGGGGCAAGCAUUUGCGAACAUUGAUGUGUGGAAUUUUGUUUGUAAAGAAGCAUUAGAAUGUAGUAGCUGGAGAUGACAAAUUGAGAAUAUCUUCAUUUCAAGGUGAUGGUUUUUUAUUGGCUUAGUAGGCAAGAAAAAGAGUACGGGUGAUAUAGCUUGGUUGAAAUUUCGUUUAUCUUGGUACAGUUGUGGUUGUUCAGUCUUGUUCUACUGUAAACUUGAUCAUUUCAGGCAUGAACAUAGUUUGUAUAUUUAGUUUUAUGCCGAGUUUAAGAUGGGUCAUUUCAGGCAUGUAAAUCGUGAUAAGAGAGAUUUUGGUUAUUGGGUUUCAGAAUCUUUUGUUUGCAAGUGAUCUGAGAAGGUCAUGGAAGGACAAUUGAGCUGCAAAUGACUUCAAGGACAUGGUGCAUGAACAGGUGCACAGUUUCUGGUCUGUUCCUGUCCUGGAACAACAAUGCCAGAAACUAGGUGAGACCUUUCUGCUGGUGGAAGGAUCCUGCAUUGCCAUUUCAAGGACUCUGUGCAAUGUCUCGCUGCUUCCCAUUUCCACCUCCAGGAUAUGAAAAGAAGGCUAAAAUUGAUGUUACAGACUCGCUGAGAAAGGAGAAGCUGAAGGAGAAAAAGCAUAAAAAAAAAAGGACAGAGAAAGAAAAAAAGGAGGGUAAAGAAAAAAAGGAGAAAGAGAGAAGUAAAGAAAAAUGGAAAGAAAAGAAAGACCGUAAGGAGAAGCACAGAGACAAGACAGACAGGGAUAAAGAUGAUGGAAAAAACCGGAACUUGGAUGUGAAAAGAAUUGAAGGGAAGACAGAGUGCUACAAUGGUGAGAAGCUUGGUCCAAACAGCAUGCAGUGUGUUGGGACCAAAGAUUUUAAACUUGUGCAAGAGUUGGAUAGAAGAAUUAGAGAUGAGGAUAAAGCAACGGGUAGCCAAAUGGUCCAAACAAUUAAUGUUGCAGAUCAACAAAGAUAUCGUUUACCAGGAAUGGUGGAGAGCAACCUUGCAGGUUGGGGUGGAGGAAAAGAUAAAAUCAAUUACAAGAAGGAAGACAAUGAAAAGGCCAAUGGACAAAGAAAUAAAGUUGAGGCAACAGGUGCAGAAAAUACAACUGUCCAGAACUAUGCUUGGAUGGAUCAACGAAGAGUUGAAGGAAUCAGUAGACCAAUGGACAAGAAUAAUGUUGAGAAGCAGGAGGGUAAAAAAAGGGGUAAGCACAAGGAAAGUGAUAGUAGAGGGGAGAAACACCUGGGUAGAGACGGAGGGGAUAAAAGCAAGUCAAAAAAAAAAGACAGAAAUAAAGAGAAGAAAAAGGUGGAGGAGAAAACGAAGGAGAUAAGGGAACUGAAUAAGGAGCUGGCUAAAUCUAAAGAAAGUGGUGAGGAGAAUGUACGUACUUGCAUUAUUAAACCAUGGCAACUUUUAAAAGACAGCAACAAGAGUUCUGCUAUUGAGAAAAAUCCUGGCAAGCGAAAAGGUUUUGAGAUAAAUGGAUUUUUGCAUGAUGAUAUUCAACCUAACAAGUUGCCUAGAUCAAUCUCAUCUCUAAACCCAGUUACGGAAAAUCAAACAAAAUUGGAACCAUGCCAAACUGAUAUUGCAUCUCACUCUAAGGGGCGGCAGGCAGACAAUAUGGUGGAUAUCAAGGAACACGAGAUUAAUGGUUUAGUAGGGGUCCCACAAUCAGUUGUAUGCCUAAAAACGCCUCCAUCGGCUGCUGUAUCAGUUAAUGAGAAUGGUAAAGCAUCUGCAAAACCGCCGCAUCCUGAUUCCAAGUAUUUGAACCAGAUACUUCUUGUACCCAAAAUGGAAGAGUGGUCUGAUUUUGAUGAUCAGAAAUGGUUGUUCAGCAGCAAUAACCUCCAGACCAAGUUGCCAAAGGGUUCUUUUAGGGAUGAUGGAAUAGCGGAAGUGUGGGCAGAAGCUCAACAGAUAGAGUCUGCUGGUGUUUCUGCUCUGCCAUAUGUCAUUCCUUUUUGAUUGGUACUGAUUGGGUUUGACACCCACUUCUGUCACCCCAGGUGGUUGUCCUCCCAAGGGAACCUUCAGAAGGCACUUCCAAGUUGAAGUUAAUGGAUUUCCUACCGCAUGUCUCCUUUUAUGAUUCCCCCAAAUUGGGCUCUUUAAAGGAUAGGGCAUCUUUGCACAGCUUGGGUUUGAAGGGGAGCAAAAGGAGAAAAGAAGAGAGUGGGCGGGAGAGCAUUUUGAUAACUCAUUUGCAAGUACUAAUCCACAAGAAUCAUAUUACCACUGAGAGAUAUAGCCUGAGGUUACCAUAUCUUAAACCUAUGCAUUUGGAGAGCGGGAUGUAUUGGUUGGAAAUGGUGAUACUGUUAACAUAUUUUUGGGGUUUUGAUUGAUUGAAGUUUUCAACAACUUGGUAUAAGGGAAAACGAGGAGAUUACUGUGGUAUUUGUUGCACCGCUACAAAAUUUUGGUUUGUAAGAUACAGAUAUCGUUUACGCAAUGUACAAUAGAUGCAAAAAGAAAAGAGGCAGUUUAAUCUUGUUUGUAAACCUGUUGGUGAUUAAAAAUUUAUGCAAUGUGAAGAACUGUUGUUUUCUCUGCCGAUAACUUCAAGCUCCUGUUACACUGUUGUAGUCACUCACUGAUUGUUGUAUGCUAAUUUAUUUCUUUCAAUUUUGUUUGAGAAACAGCGAGUUGUAAUUGUUUUUCUCCAAUGUAUUUUCUUCUAGUAGUUAAUGUGACAUUAUGUUAUAUUUGUAAAUACUAAGAAAAACUAGGAUUUCCGUUCUGUUUAAUGAAAAGCGUUUGCAGGUGAAUGUCAUUUUGAGUCA